rnacentral:rRNA from 1 species
GAUGAACGCUGGCGGCGUGCCUAAUACAUGCAAGUCGAGCGAACAGACGAGGAGCUUGCUCCUCUGACGUUAGCGGCGGACGGGUGAGUAACACGUGGAUAACCUACCUAUAAGACUGGGAUAACUUCGGGAAACCGGAGCUAAUACCGGAUAAUAUAUUGAACCGCAUGGUUCAAUAGUGAAAGACGGUUUUGCUGUCACUUAUAGAUGGAUCCGCGCCGCAUUAGCUAGUUGGUAAGUUAACGGCUUACCAAGGCAACGAUGCGUAGCCGACCUGAGAGGGGGGUAGCCCACAUGGGAGCUGAGACACGGACCAGAGUACUACGGGAGGCAGCAGUAGGGAAUCUUCCGCAAUGGGCGAAAGCCUGACGGAGCAACGCCGCGUGAGUGAUGAAGGUCUUCGGAUCGUAAAACUCUGUUAUUAGGGAAGAACAAAUGUGUAAGUAACUAUGCACGUCUUGACGGUACCUAAUCAGAAAGCAACGGCUAACUACGUG